UCAACUUUAUUUUGUCUGUCAUGGCGUGCUGGAGGUGGUUGGAACAGGGGAAGAUGGAUCAGAGGAGACUAUCUCACUUUUACAACCUAACAGUUCAUUUGGAGAAAUUUCGAUCCUUUGCAACUUUCCUCAGCCAUAUACUAUUCGUGUUUGUGAAUUAUGCCGGCUUCUACGGCUUGACAAACAAUCUUUCUCAAAUAUACUUGAGAUAUACUUUUAUGAUGGACGUAAAAUCUUGAACAACAUUUUAGAGGAAAAAGAAAGCAGUCUUCGAGACAAGCAACUAGAAUCAGACAUUACAUUUCACAUUGGAAAGCAAGAAGCUGAACUUGCUUUGAGGGUGAAUAGUGCCGCUUACCAUGGAGAUCUUUAUGAGCUAAAAAGCUUUGUCCGAGCAGGAGCUGAUCCGAACAGAACAGAUUAUGAUGGAAGAUCACCCUUGCAUCUUGCAGCAUCAAGAGGUUAUGAAGACAUUACACUUUUCCUUGUUCAAGAAGGAGUUGAUAUUAACAUCAAAGAUAAAUUUGGAAAUACUCCCUUACUGGAAGCUAUCAAGAAUGGACAUGAUCAUGUUGCAUCUUUACUUGUUAAAGAAGGGGCUGACUUGAGCUUGGAUGAUGCUGGUAGUUUUCUUUGUUCAAUUGUUUCAAAUGGGGAUUCUGAUCUUCUCAAAAGGAUUUUGUCCACUGGCAUUGAUCCAAACUCCAAGGAUUAUGAUCACCGAACCCCACUUCAUGUAGCUGCCUCCGAAGGAGUACAUAUGAUGGCAAAGUUGCUGUUAGAAGCUGGAGCUAGUGUUUUCUUGAAAGACAGGUUUCAAAUAAUUUUAUUUGUUAUAUUAUGCUUAUGAGCAAGUUAUUAGUUCUCGCAUAUUAUUAAAUUUGAGACCUAACUAGAUAUGAGUGAGCUAUUUUUCAUUAUUUGAGGAUAUGAAUGAGGCUAAGUAAUUAGGUCCAAUUAAUAUAAGUGAAAGCUAAGCUUUUGAUGAUUUCUAGAAAUGGGAAAGAAAAUUUUGUCAAUUACCAAACAAUGCUUUCUUAUGGCUUUUAUUUUCUGUGAUCUUGUUCUAGGGGCUGAAUACUCGGAUAUUACUUAAGCUGGGUCUUUGACUUGCAGUUAUAUACAAAAGCAAUUGAUAUGCUAAAAUGAUGUUUGAGCAGAACCUUUCUAAUCCUUUUAAGUGAGAAUUAUCAAAAUAGAUGUCCAAUUAAUAUUGUUAGACAAUUCUGAUAACUAAACUGUUGUAUUGUUGUUUUGACUCUCUAGAUGGGGAAAAACUCCUCUUGAUGAAGGUCGGAUAUCCGGAAACAAGAAUUUGAUCAAGCUACUGGAAGAUGCAAAAUCUGCUCAGCUAUCAGAAUUCUGGCCUCACUCUCAAGAAAGCACAGAUAAAAUGCAGAGAAGGAAGUGCACAAUUUUCCCUUUCCAUCCAUGGGGUCCCAAAGAACAAAAAAGACCUGGUAUAGUGUUAUGGGUUCCACAGACAAUGGAAGAGCUAAUAAAGACAGCAGCAGAGCAGCUACAGCUUCCAGAUAAUUGUUGUAUACUAACAGAAGAUGCAGGUAAAAUUCUUGAUGUAGACAUGAUUGAUGAUGGUGAGAAGUUGUAUUUAAUCCGUGAAACGCAUUAAUUAUGAACGUUGAUGUUGCUGUAUAGUGUUGGAGUCUAGUUUUCUCUGUAUCCAAAACCCACAUAAAUGCUGCUUCUCUGCAUAUAUAAAGCUAUGUCAAUGUUAAUACCAAGGCAUUGGAAAUGCUGCCAUUUGCAAAUACAAGUUAAUAAAGUAAGUUUUCU
rnacentral:misc_RNA from 1 species